rnacentral:tRNA from 1 species
GGGCAAGUAGCUUAGCGGAAGCACAUUUGUGCGUUGUUGACUCUGUUGACAAUACAUCACCUGUACGGAGGUUCAAACCCUUCCUUGUCCA